UUUACCACCCCCCUCUGUCAGAGAGGCAAGGAAAAGACAAUUAAAGAAAAUGAAAAGAGAAAAUGGGGCCGGGGGUGGACGUUUGGUCUGGUGAGCCACUAAGAAUGUGGGAGUAUCAUUUGGUCUCAUUUGGUAAAAUGUACCUCGAGGUCAGGAUAGAUGAUGUCAAGGGGACUGAUUAUUAUCUUUCACCCUUUUGUAGGGUUAGUUUUGAAGUUAUAAUCAUAAGAGCGCUAAAUCAUAAAUGAUUUAAAGUGGCCAAUGUUAAAUUUUAAUACUUUCAUGGCUCUUAUGAUUGAAACACUCUCUUAUGGCUCUUAUGAUUGUUAUUUGCCUAUUAUAACCUUUAUACAUAUUUUUGUCUUUGUCGUCAGAACACUUGUACUUUCCAUUCUGAUAACGAAUGAAAAACAAACUGUCUGUCCUUUCAUUAAACUUCGUACCAUUUCUCAAGGAUGCAUAGUUGAAUAUAAGCCUCUGUUCGUACAAUAAUAAAUCGAGAAUCAACUGAGAUGUACCCUUGUGUGUGUGUCACGUAUUUGGGUCUAAUUAGAAAAAGAGACUGAGAUUGCCGCAGAUCGACUUGGUUGUGGAAGACUGUUUGUGUGCACAAAUUAUCUAACACGAUUCUACUGAUCACAUCCAACAUCCUAAACAAUUAUUCCCUGAAUGACUGAAACUGAUGUUUUAAAUAACUUGUUUUAUGGAUUUGACCAUUGCGGUCUGGUGGAGACUUGGUGAGCCAAGCUCAUUAUAAUUUUAACAACAGUGAAUUCAUUACAGCAUUGACAUCACUUUCCUAGUAAACACGCCGAAACCCGCCCCCUUGAGGAGCAAAACACUCAGCAAAAGGGCUUCUUUCAAUAGGAGAAAAAGAAACUGGGAUCUUUCAGCAGUCUGUGAAAAGAAAUAUAACAUUUUGUGCUUUAACUGUUUGUACAAUCAAUCACACAACAAGCUUUACCCAUUUAGUCCAGAUAGCGGCAAAGGCUUCUGCAAUUAGUCUUUUUGCCACUCAGUGGGCAUGGCUUGCUUGGCUUUCGUGUGCGGUGAAGUCACGUGCAGUCCCUCUAUUGAAAGCAGCCAUUUUUUUGCCACUCAAAGGGUCAUAUUCUGUCAUGUUCACAUAGGAAAUGCAUACCCUCUAUUGACCCCACUCAUGGGGAAUGGUGUAACAUUUGCACUUCUAUCACUUUCACUGUAAUUAUACUAGAACCGUAGGUUCUAAAAACAAAUUUACAAUGUGGAACUGUGCAAACCUCAAUUCUUGGCGAGGUCGUGACUUACCUGUUUCUCUCACUAUGGCAUGGGACACCAGGGCCCAUCUACAACAUGGCUGCCACUCCAGAGCCCGACCACAACAUGGCUGCCUAUCAAUAACACAACAUGGUUGCCUCUCAUGCCUCUCUUUGAGUUUCUCAUGCUCCCUGUCAUGUCCAGAACAUGAACAGAAGCUGCUCUUUGUUAAUAAUUUUGAUCUGUUUUGGGAGCGACCUAGGCUCUUCCGCCCUGACGGCCUGCACCCCAGCAGCAUCGGAGCGGUUCUUCUGUCUGACAACAUCUCAAAGACGCUACGCACAGCUUGACUACGUCUCCCAGCGGGAGAGAUUCCGCCAGGCCCAGAUGAACGUCAUAUGCCCAUCCACAACUAGAGAUUACGCCAGCUACAUCGGAAAAUCCCGUGCCAUCCUCCUGCGAGAGCCUGCGGACUGACUGACCAUCCAGCUCCAUCCAAGGCAAUUCCAUCACCACCCAAGAAAAAGGCGACCAUCUGGCCGGCCCAGCUCAGACAAUUCCAUCCCCAACCGAGAGCAAAGACGGACUACCUGUCACAUAAAUGCUAAAUUUACAAUACUUGGUAUUUAAUGCUAAACUUACAUCACACGACAGCAGUUUGAAGUUAUGGCUGCACUCAGUGACUUUGAUUGGAGGUAGCUGGGUGGGUGUUGUAGGGAGUGGGGGGGGCUUGUUGGUUGUGGUUCGGGGCGUUUCAUUUGUUGGGACUGUGUGGGUCUGGUCUGGUUGGUCUUGUUUUGUGGUCGAUGUCGGACAACAGAGGAAUAAAGUUAAUUAUGCCAUUACUACUUUUCCCUGGUUGUCCCUCUGUUGUCUGUUGUUGAUCACGGAAUGGGACCGGGUUGGACCUGCACGGUUUCGGCGGGUGGGGCUUCCUGGGUCGCGGCUCGUGGGCUCUCCCUGUUCUUCGUGGACGUUGCUCGGUGGCUUUGGUCGGGGUCACUGAGUGCAGCUAUGACACGUCAGAGGAGAUCUGGCCCUCCCGGCUGAGCCUGGUUUCUCCCGAGGUUUUUUUUUCUCCAUUAUUCAGCAUUGGAGUUUGGGUUCCUCGCCACAGCAGAGCAGUGCAGUGUUGGCUUGCUCACCGGGAGACUGCAUUUAUUUAUUUAUUUAUUUAUUUAUUUAUUAGAUAUUAUUUAUUAUAAUGAUCUUGCUUGGUCUAUAAACACCAUGCACUGUGCUGUGUUUUACCUUUCUGUGUUUUUCUUAUUUGCUCCUGUAAAGCUGCUUUGGAACAAUGCACAUUGUGAAAAGCGCUAUAUAAAUAAAA